rnacentral:lncRNA from 1 species
GCUGUUGCACCGGCUGGGAUGGGGGCGGGGUGCAGCAUCGCCCAUCGGCUGCACAGGGCAAGAGUAGGCGGUUAGACCGGGAAAGGAUGACCCUUGAGGAGGCAUUAGUAGAAAAAAGAGGCUAUAGCCCCGAUUCGGUUGAGCCUUUAGCCUCGGUUCACGAACCGGGCUAACAAAGCGGAACUAAUGUUAGUCCCGGUUCCGUUCCAAACCGAGGCUGAUAAUCCUCCACGUGGCGGGCUGGGGGCCAGGGGGACGGGUAUUAGUCCUGGUUCUUAUUACGAACCGGCUAUAUUGCUUCGCUGCCUUUUUUUAACAUUUUUUAAGAUUUAGGGUUUUGCAUUAAAUUGGCUGGGCUAUUUUGCUGCCUAUUUCCCCAUUUAUUUGUUUGGGGCACUUUUUAAUUCUUGUUUUGCAUUAAAUUGGAUGGUACAUACACAACAAUAAAAGAACAACUAUA